UACGUAGGGUGCAAGCGUUAAUCGGAAUUAUUGGGCGUAAAGAGCUCGUAGGCGGUGUGUCGCGUCGGCCGUGAAAACCUGCAGCUUAACUGUGGGCUUGCGGUCGAUACGGGCAUCACUGGAGUUCGGCAGGGGAGACUGGAAUACUUGGUGUAGCAGUGAAAUGCGUAGAUAUCAAGUGGAACACCAGUGGCGAAGGCGAGUCCCUGGACGACUCCUGACACUGAGGCACGAAAGCUAGGGGAGCAAACAGG
rnacentral:rRNA from 1 species